AUUGAACGCUGGCGGCAGGCCUAACACAUGCAAGUCGAACGAGUGGCGGACGGGUGAGUAAUGUCUGGGAAACUGCCCGAUGGAGGGGGAUAACUACUGGAAACGGUAGCUAAUACCGCAUACCAUCGGAUGUGCCCAGAUGGGAUUAGCUAGUAGGGUGGGUAACGGCUCACCUAGGCGACGAUCCCUAGCUGUUCUGCGAGGAGUACCAGCAACACUGGAACUGAGACACGUUCCAGACUCCUACGGGAGGCAGCAGUGGGGAAUAUUGCAAAAUGGGCGCAAGGCUGCUGCAGCCAUGCCGCGUGUAUGAAGAAGGCCUUCGGGUUGUAAAGUACUUUCAGCGAGGAGGCGUUACUCGCAGAAGAAGCACCGGCUAACUCCGUGCCAGCAGCCGCGGUAAUUC
rnacentral:rRNA from 1 species